GGAAAGGCUAUCCACUCCAGUGUUCUGGCCUGGAGAAUUCCAUGGGUUGUAUAGUCUAUGUGGUCACAAAGAGUGACUGAGCAACUUUCACUCACUCGCUCACUGGCGGCUGCAUGAGUCACAAACUCGUUGCCUGGGUGGGAUGGGAACUGGGUGAGCUGCUCCUGUGGGUGAGGGUCUCUGACCUGCAGAGUCUGCACUGUGGGGGCCCAGAACGAAUGGAGUCAGGAAUGCUGCCCACAUAGAUGAGGUGAAAGGCUGAAGUCAUAGGAAGCACUGGCUCAGAGGAGGUGGAAACCCCAGAAAUUAGUUCAGCUUAGAAGAUGAAAGUAGAGAAGGUGGUUGCCAAGCAUGUGGGAUCUUAGCACUGCAACCAGGGAUCAAACCCACACUCCUUGCAUUGGAAGUGAUGUCUCGUCCAGUGCUGGAAAGUGCUGGAAGUGGCUCCAUCUCUUCACAAGACACUCAUAGUCUGAGACAAGCAGCAUCCUUGAGAAUAGACUUUGCCUCAGGACCUGGUGAAAGAAGACCUGAACAGAAGCCUGUGGGUAACCAGCAGUCUGAUACCUCUAACCUUGGACCUCACUGUCCACGAUGACGCAGUGGGUGCCUAUGCCUUCUGCAGAAGUCUUCGCUACUCAUUCAUUCUUAUCAAUGUUUUAACACACACAAUUAGCUUUUCACUCACACCAGUCCCAGUGACUGUGCAAAGCAAAUGUCCUCAGGGAUCCAUGAGGGCCCUGUGUCUGAAACACAGCCUCCUUGAUCAACGAGGCUGAAGAAGAGAAGGAAAACCAUGCCUGGGCUAUUCCGUGCUUCAUACUGGAACACCCCUCCUUAGAGCAUAGAGCUCUGCCACCCUCCAGGGGCUUGAAGAGUGCAGCCUUCCUGUUGCCAGAAAGGGGAUGAAAACUGGUCAUGAGUAGACACUAGUAAAGUCUACCAGGCUGUGCAUCCCAGAGGCAAGAGGAAACAGUCUCAGCUGCUCUGACUCCAUAUUUAUCAAGCACGUUUUGACUCACACUUGGAAUCGCAUGCCAUGAAUUCCUGGCCUCCUGACUAGUCCAGGGACCAGCCAGCGGACAGUUAACUCAAGCCAGCAGGUAGCAUCAGCUGAAAUUUUGACACUGAAUGAUACACUGAGCAGUGCUAUUCUCAGGAUAUGAGUGAUUUAGUGUAUUAUCUAAAAUUUAAAUGUUUUAAUAUACCUCCCAAAAAGUUACCUGGCUCAGAAAACUGCAGAGGAACCGCAGGGAUCUGGGAGGCCACUUGCAGGGAACCAACCUUCCACUACCAGAUUCCAAAGGAAUCACAGAAAAAAAGAAAAAAGAAAGAAAAGCUAGAGGAGAAAGGCAUUUAAAUUGUGUUUGGAACACAAGUUCAUAAUUUUAUCUGGAAGUCACCUCAGACAUCAGUGAGUAGGAGGGGCUAACUAUCCAUUUGCAAGUGAUGAAGAAAC
ensembl:lncRNA